UUUAAUGCGAAUGGUUCCCCUGCGGGAUUAAUAGGAAAAUGAGUAAAAGCUCAUACGGUCACGCCGCUGUAAGGGAGUAGUCGCGCUUCAUUAUGUCACUGGAAACGGGAAGACGAAGCGCGGUGAUGAUACCCAAGUCAGAAGACCUGCCAUUUGUAUA
rnacentral:ncRNA from 1 species